rnacentral:rRNA from 1 species
AACACGUGAGUAACCUGCCCUUGACUCUGGGAUAAGCCUGGGAAACUGGGUCUAAUACCGGAUACGACCAUCUGGCGCAUGUCAUGGUGGUGGAAAGCUUUUGUGGUUUUGGAUGGACUCGCGGCCUAUCAGCUUGUUGGUGGGGUAAUGGCCUACCAAGGCGACGACGGGUAGCCGGCCUGAGAGGGUGACCGGCCACACUGGGACUGAGACACGGCCCAGACUCCUACGGGAGGCAGCAGUGGGGAAUAUUGCACAAUGGGCGCAAGCCUGAUGCAGCGACGCCGCGUGAGGGAUGACGGCCUUCAGGUUGUAAACCUCUUUCAGUAGGGAAGAAGCGAAAGUGACGGUACCUGCAGAAGAAGCGCCGGCUAACUACGUGCCAGCAGCCGCGGUAAUACGUAGGGCGCAAGCGUUAUCCGGAAUUAUUGGGCGUAAAGAGCUCGUAGGCGGUUUGUCGCGUCUGCUGUGAAAGACCGGGGCUCAACUCCGGUUCUGCAGUGGGUACGGGCAGACUAGAGUGCAGUAGGGGAGACUGGAAUUCCUGGUGUAGCGGUGAAAUGCGCAGAUAUCAGGAGG